rnacentral:rRNA from 1 species
AUUGAACGCUGGCGGCAGGCCUAACACAUGCAAGUCGAGCGAGCGGCGGACGGGUGAGUAAUGUCUGGGAAACUGCCUGAUGGAGGGGGGUAACUACUGGGAACGGUGGCUAAUACCGCAUACCAUCAGAUGUGCCCAGAUGGGAGUAGAUCGUAGGUGGGGUAAUGUCUCACCUAGCCGACGCUCCCUAGGUGGUCUGAGAGGAUGACCAGCAACACCGGAACUGAGACACGGUACAGACUCCUACGGGAGGCAGAAGUGGGGAAUAUUGCACAAGGGGCGCAAGCCUGAUGCAGCUAUGCCGCGGGUGUGAAGAAGGCCUUCGGGUUGUAAAGCACUUUCAGCGGGGAGGCGUUACCCGCAGAAGAAGCACCGGCUAACUCCGUGCCAGCAGCCGCGGUAAUAC